rnacentral:rRNA from 1 species
UACGUAGGGUGCGAGCGUUGUCCGGAAUUACUGGGCGUAAAGAGCUCGUAGGUGGUUUGUCGCGUUGUUCGUGAAAACUCACAGCUCAACUGUGGGCGUGCGGGCGAUACGGGCAGACUGGAGUACUGCAGGGGAGACUGGAAUUCCUGGUGUAGCGGUGGAAUGCGCAGAUAUCAGGAGGAACACCGGUGGCGAAGGCAGAUCUCUGGGCCGUAACUGACGCUGAGGAGCGAAAGCAUGGGGAGCGAACAGG